rnacentral:rRNA from 1 species
GAAUACGUUCCCGGGUCUUGUACACACCGCCCGUCACACCAUGGGAGUCAGUAACGCCCGAAGUCAGUGACCCAACCGUAAGGAGGGAGCUGCCGAAGGCGGGACCGAUAACUGGGGUGAAGUCGUAACAAGGUAGCCGUAUCGGAAGGUGCGGCUGGAUCACCUCCUUUCUAAGGAA